rnacentral:rRNA from 1 species
CGAGCGGCGGACGGGUGAGUAAUGCCUAGGAAAUUGCCCUGAUGUGGGGGAUAACCAUUGGAAACGAUGGCUAAUACCGCAUGAUGCCUACGGGCCAAAGAGGGGGACCUUCGGGCCUCUCGCGUCAGGAUAUGCCUAGGUGGGAUUAGCUAGUUGGUGAGGUAAGGGCUCACCAAGGCGACGAUCCCUAGCUGGUCUGAGAGGAUGAUCAGCCACACUGGAACUGAGACACGGUCCAGACUCCUACGGGAGGCAGCAGUGGGGAAUAUUGCACAAUGGGCGCAAGCCUGAUGCAGCCAUGCCGCGUGUGUGAAGAAGGCCUUCGGGUUGUAAAGCACUUUCAGUCGUGAGGAAGGUAGUGUAGUUAAUAGCUGCAUUAUUUGACGUUAGCGACAGAAGAAGCACCGGCUAACUCCGUGCCAGCAGCCGCGGUAAUACGGAGGGUGCGAGCGUUAAUCGGAAUUACUGGGCGUAAAGCGCAUGCAGGUGGUUUGUUAAGUCAGAUGUGAAAGCCCGGGGCUCAACCUCGGAAUUGCAUUUGAAACUGGCAGACUAGAGUACUGUAGAGGGGGGUAGAAUUUCAGGUGUAGCGGUGAAAUGCGUAGAGAUCUGAAGGAAUACCGGUGGCGAAGGCGGCCCCCUGGACAGAUACUGACACUCAGAUGCGAAAGCGUGGGGAGCAAACAGGAUUAGAUACCCUGGUAGUCCACGCCGUAAACGAUGUCUACUUGGAGGUUGUGGCCUUGAGCCGUGGCUUUCGGAGCUAACGCGUUAAGUAGACCGCCUGGGGAGUACGGUCGCAAGAUUAAAACUCAAAUGAAUUGACGGGGGCCCGCACAAGCGGUGGAGCAUGUGGUUUAAUUCGAUGCAACGCGAAGAACCUUACCUACUCUUGACAUCCAGAGAACUUUCCAGA